UACGUAGGGUGCGAGCGUUAAUCGGAAUGACUGGGCGUAAAGGGUGCGUAGGCGGUUUGCUAAGACGGAUGUGAAAUCCCUGGGCUCAACCUAGGAACAGCAUACGUGACUGGCAGGCUAGAGUAUCGAAGAGGGGGGUAGAAUUCCACGUGUAGCAGUGAAAUGCGUAGAGAUGUGGAGGAACACCGAUGGCGAAGGCAGCCCCCUGGGUCAAAACUGACGCUCAUGCACGAAAGCGUGGGGAGCAAACAGG
rnacentral:rRNA from 1 species